AGUGAACGCUGGCGGCGUGCCUAAUACAUGCAAGUCGAACGGAGUGGAGCACGGGUGAGUAAUUUAUAGCUAAUAUGCCCUACACUAGAGGACAACAGUUGGAAACGGCUGCUAAUACUCUAUAGUCUAGGAUGAUGCUAUAUUGUAUCAGCUAGUUGGUGAGGUAAUGGCUCACCAAGGGUAUGACGAAUAACUAGUCUGAGAGGACGAUGAGUCACACUGGAACUGAGACACGAGCCAGACUCCUUCGGGAGGCAGCAGUAGGGAAUAUUGCUCAAUGGGGGAAACCGUGAAGCAGCAACGCCGCGUGGAGUACGACACGUUUCGGAGCGGAAACUCCUUUUGUUAGGGAAGCGGUACCUAACGAAUAAGCACCGGCUAACUCCGUGCCAGCCGCCGCGGUAAUAC
rnacentral:rRNA from 1 species